AUGCAAAAUACUUCCAAAGGUACAAAUUUGAAAACUCAGAAUCCUGAAACCCAAUCACUCAUCUUUCUCAUUCCUAAAAUUUUUACCUUAGCAGUGGUUACCUGAUAGUUUAGAACACUUUAGAUUUGGGAGGAGGGAAGAAAAAAAAAAGGCUCUUAUUUUGGGGUUUUGAUGUCCCAGUGGAUCUGCGUCUAUUUCUUUUCCGUGUAUAUUUCUUCUUCUCUAUAAAUACAUUUAAAUAGACUAAACACCUCCUUUGGCAGUUACUUCAUCAAAACAUGGAAAACAUGCUAUGGCUGAGCAUGGAUUUAUUUAGAGACUUGCAAACAGUGUUCCGGAAGCCCUGUGCGGUUGGGAUGGGCUGGGUUUUCUCAGCCUUCAGACGGGCGGGAGUUCCUGUCACUGGAUUCACAGUUCACAGCUGUACACGCUCCUGGUUAUCAAGGGGGUGACCUAGGUGCUGGCUGCAGAGAAUAAGACACUGAACCUGCUGGACACACACACACACACACACACACACCACACACACACACACACACACACACCUGAUGCCGUCACACACACACACACACACACACACACACCUGAUGCCGCCGGAGUCCUUGAGAUGCCCCAUCCCAUUUGUUCUUACUCAUGCCAACCCUAGGCUUGGGCUAACUAGUUAUUUUCCUACACUCUAGCAAGUAGCACUGAGAACCAUAGAGCCUUUCUGAAAUAAUUCGAACAGGAUUGUUUCUCAUGGUCUUCUCGGCAGUGGAUGAUGGCCUUUAGUGCCUCAGCUCUGCAUUUCCAACCCUCCAUCUUCUCGAACCUGAUGAGAUUCUGUAUGUCUGGUCGGAAGCAGGUGGAGUGGCGUCUGGCCCUGCAGAGUUGCUGAGAGGGGCAGGACGUGAGCUGGGGGUCCCUUAAAGGAUUAAGGGAGCUGCCCUUAACCAUUUGACCUCCAGGCCAUGUGACGAGAGCCACCUUCUGUUGUCGGUCUCUCUCUCUCUUUUUUUUUUUUUUUCUUUUUAGGGCCGCACCUUCAGCAUGUGGAGGUUCCCAGGCUAGGGGUCUAAUCAGUGCUAUAACCACCGGUCUACGCCAGAGCCACAGCAGCACCAGCUCUGAGCCACGUCUGCGAACUACACCACAGCUCAUGGCAAUGCCGGAUCCUUAACCCACUGAUCGAGGCCAGGUAUUGAACCUGCAACCUCAUGGUUCCUAGUCGGAUUCGUUUCCCCUGCGCCUCAACGGGAACUCCUUUUUUUUUCUUUUUUCUAAAUCGAGCUGUACCCACAGCAUAUGAAAUUCCCAGGCUACGGAUGAACUGGAGCUGCAGCUGUCAGCCUACACCACAGCCAUAGCAAUGCUGGAUCCAAACCGAGUCUUUGAACUAUACUGCAACUCCUGGCAACACUGGAUCCUUAACCUGCUCAAAGAGGCCAGGGAUCGAACCUGCAUCCUCAUGGAUACUAGUCGGGUUCAUAACCUGCUGAACCACAGUGG
rnacentral:lncRNA from 1 species